GUAUUUGAAAAAUAUCCAAUCCCCUCUCCACAUAGACAUCAUUGAAGGUCGAGUAACAUUAUUCAGCAAUGCAAACAAGUGUUAAGUUCAAGGAUCUUGUGUAUCUAUGCAUUUUGCAAAACAGCAUAUAAUUUCACUAGGUGGACAAAAAUGCUGGAGGAACUCAGCGGUUCCUUCUUAAACAUAUAAUUUAACUAACUGAUCCAAAUUGUUUCCAUCCAUCUGACUCCCAGUACUUCUGGACAGAACGAGGACUCAGAUCCAAAGUCCAUGCAAAUCCAACCUAUUUCUGUGUAAUGU